CGGUACGUACUGGCAUUGUUGGUUUCUCCCUUCUGACGAACCAUGAUGUCAUUUAUUUGGUGUUGUGGGGAAUCAGGACUGUUACUUUGAAAAAAUUAGAGUGUUUAAAGCAGGCUCACGCUUGAAUACAUUAGCAUGGAAUAAUGAAAUAGGACGUUUGAUUCUAUUUUGUUGGUUUCUAGGAUCGACGUAAUGAUUAAUAGGGAUAGUUGGGGGCAUUAGUAUUCGAUUGUCAGAGGUGAAAUUCUUGGAUUUAUUGAAGACUAACUACUGCGAAAGCAUUUGCCAAGGAUGUUUUCAUUAAUCAAGAACGAAAGUUAGGGGAUCGAAGACGAUCAGAUACCGUCGUAGUCUUAACCAUAAACUAUGCCGACUAGGGAUCGGAUGAUGUUAAUUUUUUAAUGACUCAUUCGGCGCCUUACG
rnacentral:rRNA from 1 species